AGUUCGGUCCCUAUCUGCCGUGGGCGUUUGAUAUUUGAGAGGAGUUGACCUUAGUACGAGAGGACCGGGUUGAACGUAUCUCUGGUGUUCCGGUUGUCACGCCAGUGGCAUCGCCGGGUAGCUAUGUUCGGAAGGGAUAACCGCUGAAAGCAUCUAAGCGGGAAGCCUCCCUCGAGAUAAGAUUUCAUAGAGCCGUCGGAGACCACGACGUUGAUAGAUCGGAUGUAGAAGUGCGGUAACGCAUGGAGCUAACCG
rnacentral:rRNA from 1 species